rnacentral:sRNA from 1 species
AAAGCCAGUGCCCAGUGCCAGAAAUCGAAGCCAAACGUCGCCAUUUUAAAGUUCGACCUGCUUGGAUUUUUCGCAAAAGAAAAAACGCAACGCUUUGAGGAAGGAGCACAUAAUUUGUGUCAUUGAUAGCAAAAAAUUGGAAUCGGAAAUUAAAACAAGAUGUCGAACCAAGAACGUAUUGUUUUGAAAGUAGUCAGUGAUAAUGUUGAGCUUGGGCAUUUCAUUACUGAAAAAACUACCGAGUUCUUCCAACUUAUGCGCGCUGCUACUCUGCGCGUGAAUGUCACCAUGGAUGGCAUGCGCUUCAUCUACAAUGGGCAUAUCAUCAAGGCAGCGGACACACCCGGGGGGCUGGGUAUGCAAAGCGGCCAAGUCAUCAAAGUAGAGAUGACUGAUCCAGCAAAUUUUCCUACUCCGGAGUGAGCGUGUCAUACCCAACACAAUAAACCACUCUAUAGACGAAACUACUUUGCCAAAGAAAUAAAAUAAAAUAAAAGUUCAACUUUCAUCUAUUGAACCUGUA